rnacentral:rRNA from 1 species
GGCGCAAGGGUGCGUAACACGUGGGUAAUUUGCCAUGAAGUCUGGAAUAACUUGCUGAAAGGCGAGCUAAUGCCGGAUGUGACUUCCGAAGGGCAUCUUUUGGAAUUCAAAGCUGGAACCGUAAGGUCUGGCGCUUUUUGAUAAGCCCGCGGUCUAUCAGCUAGUUGGUGAGGUAACGGCUCACCAAGGCUAAGACGGAUAGCUGGUCUGAGAGGACGACCAGCCACACUGGAACUGAGACACGGUCCAGACACCUACGGGUGGCAGCAGUCGAGAAUUUUUCACAAUGGGCGAAAGCCUGAUGGAGCGACGCCGCGUGGGGGAUGAAUGGCUUCGGCCCGUAAACCCCUGUCAUUUGCGAACAAACCUUACCGGUUAAUACCCAGUGAGCUGAUUGUAGCGGAAGAGGAAGGGACGGCUAACUCUGUGCCAGCAGCCGCGGUAAUACAGAGGUCCCGAGCGUUGUUCGGAUUCACUGGGCGUAAAGGGUGCGUAGGUGGUGAGGUAAGUCGGAUGUGAAAUCUCCGGGCUCAACCCGGAAAUGGCAUUGGAAACUACCUUGCUGGAGGAUUUGAGGGGGGAUUGGAAUACUUGGUGUAGCAGUGAAAUGCGUAGAUAUCAAGUGGAACACCAGUGGCGAAGGCGAAUCCCUGGAAAAUACCUGACACUGAGGCACGAAAGCUAGGGGAGCAAACAGGAUUAGAUACCCUGGUAGUCC